AUGGCUCCCAACAGGGCUCCUGGACCCGAUAAUAUCCUGGCUGAAUUCUACCAGGCGUGUUGGGAGAUUGUCAAAGACGACAUCAUGGCCUUGUUUGAACAUUUCCACCAAGGGAAACUGGAUGUGCAGCGGCUUAAUUACGGGAUUAUUACCCUUCUCCGAAAAACCUCUGGGACUGAGAAAAUCCAGCAAUACAGGCCCAUAUGUUUGUUGAGAUGCCCAUAUAAACUGAUUACGAAGGUCCUCGAUCGUAGAGUGGCUAUCUACGCGGAUAAACUCAUUAGUCCUACCAGAAUGCAUUUGUUAAAGGCAGAAACAUUAUGGAUGGUGUCCUGUCUCUCCAUGAAAUUCUUAACUACACCUAUGUUAAGAAAAGAGUGGGAAUUGUCCUUAAACUGGAUUUUGAAAAAGCCUAUGACAAGGUUAAUUGGGACUUUCUCCUAG
rnacentral:rRNA from 1 species